rnacentral:rRNA from 1 species
UACGUAGGGCGCAAGCGUUGUCCGGAAUUAUUGGGCGUAAAGAGCUCGUAGGCGGUUUGUCACGUCGGCUGUGAAAACCCGAGGCUCAACCUCGGGCCUGCAGUCGAUACGGGCAGACUAGAGUGCUGUAGGGGAGACUGGAAUUCCUGGUGUAGCGGUGAAAUGCGCAGAUAUCAGGAGGAACACCGGUGGCGAAGGCGGGUCUCUGGGCCUUACCUGACGCUGAGGAGCGAAAGCGUGGGGAGCGAACAGG